CCCUUUUUAUCCCUCUCUCUCUCUCUCUCUCUCUCUCUCUCUCUCGCUCGCUCUCUCUCGGCCUGGCGUUCGAUCUCCCAUAGCAGUUCCGCCCGAUGAAGGACGCCGCCGCCGUCGGACCGAGGCUUUCCAAGAAGAACUCCGACGAUGAGGAGAGGAGAAAGAAGAAGAAGAAAAUGAAAUCCAACAAGCGCCGUCGCCUCCGCCACUCCUCCUGCUCGUCUUCCGAUUCCGACGACGGCAGCCCUCGCUCCCGAAGGAAACGAGCGAAGAGGCUUGAGAAGAGGAAAAGGGAGCCCAAGAACGACGACAGGAAGAAGAGGAAGAAGAAGAGUAAGAAGAAGGAGAAGGAAAAGGAGAGGUCCCGCAAGUCGCGCAACCGCAGCGUCAGCGCGUCGAGCGGCUCGUCGAGCCGGAGUUGCUCCACCUGCCGCGGCCGGAGCAGCUCCUCCGGCAGUAGCGUCUCGAGGAGCCCGCCUCCGAGAGCGAAGCCGAGGGCGAGAAGUCGGUCUAGAGGGAGAGGGAGGGAUGGGGAUGCGGAGAGGGGGAGAGGUCGGCGGAGGAGGACGACAAGCUUCGAUCGGCGUGGGAGUAGGUAUCGGUCUCGGAGUUGCUCUACUUGUGGAGGGAGUCGGAGUAGCGGCCGGACCGGUGGAAGCGCUUGCCGAAGCCGAAGUUGUAGCGAGGAGAAGUAUCGGGAGAUUGAACAGCCGAGGCGGCUCAGAUCGGUACUGACUAUGGCAGAGGACAGAGAGGUGGUCGAAGGAGGAUUUCAUGGAAAGGAUGAGCAGGGAGACAGAAUUAUCCAAAGUUACGAUGAUUUUGAUAGGUAUGAUGGGGGCAGGAAGUCGGACACACAUCAAGAUUCUCCUCAGAGGAAUGCAAAGAAUGAUGAAGCUUUAGCAAAGAAUGGGAAUGCAAAGGACAGUGAAAUGGUGCUGAGUAUAAGUGGUGAGCAAACAAUUGAGAAUGCUGAUGGUGGUGGUGAUGAUUUUACUAGGAAGAAGAAAGACAACUCUGGGGGUCCGGAGGCUGUCGAGUUAGAAUCACAAUUAAGACAAAGGGCAUUGGAUAAUUUUGCAAAGUUCCGACGAAGCCUUUCUGCAAACACGAGGUCUACUGGUUGUCAGGAAGAUGACUCCAGCCAACCUCAAUGUGGCAAGGACCCCAUUAAAGUUGCUGAGGCACAAGAUGCCUUCAAAUCUUCAGAUGGAAAGUUCGCUGUUUCCCAUGAAUGCCAAGGUGGUGUUCAAGGUGAAGUCCGGCGAGCUGAACCCAGAGUUAGAUCUGUUGUGAAUAUUCCCGCUGAGAAAGAUACUUCAAGCCAUGUGAUUAGACGUCAAAGUUCCAGUGGAAGCUCUAGAAAAGAAAAUGAACAAGACCCAGAUAACUCCAACAAAAGCCAAAGUGAUCCAACCCAAUUAAACUGGAUAGAAGAGCCAUCUAACAAAAUGUCUUUGCAACAUUCCUCACUAAUAAAAGACAAGCAAGAGAAGAGUGCAGCUGCUGAACCUGAAAGUAGCACUGUAUGUGAUGCUGCAGUAAAUCAGUCUGUUGGACAACCAACUUCAGCAUUACCUGCCGAUCAAAGAAUUGAAAGUGAAAAUGAAAACAAGGAUGAAGAUAAAGGGUCUCAGUUUCAACAAAAGACAUUCUCUAGGAUGCAUGAUGGAGAACUAGUGCAGGUAAGUUACAAGGUUUACAUACCAAAGAAAAGUCCUGCCUUGGCAAGAAGGCAACCACAACGGUGAAAAGUGUAUAGGUUGAGUCUCCUUCCUCCGAUUUCCAUUUUCAAUAUUGGCACUGGUGUCUUCAUGAGGAUCAAGAUAUUUCACUACUGCAUAAUUGACUAAGAUUCAGGUUAUUAUUAUUGUAAAAAUUUAUGUUGAUAAACUAUUAUAGGUUUUUACAUGGCACCUUUACGAUAAUAAAAUGAGUUGGUAACUUGGGAAUUCUCUUUCGUUGUCUCAAUACUUCAAUAACUGUUUUGGAAAAUGAUUGAUCUGACUCUGCUAGGUGUUUCAGUGCACAAAGUUUCUGUAAAUGUAGGGUCUGGGAAGGGUUAAUAUAGGCUGCCUUCCCGUUGGAAGCAGAGUAGCUGUUUCCAUUAUUCCAACACAGUCAGGGUAGGUUGUCACGCUGGCUGCAAAGAAAACUUUACACAGGAAGAUUGAAGCAUCAGAUCAUUAGACGGAGCGCAGGUGGAGAGUAGAUAAUAGAUAUCAAUCAAAUUGGAUGUAAUUGGUUAUAUGAUUAUCCAACAAUUGUUCAUCUCUGAUCCUAUCCAAUAUGCAUCUCUGGGUGAUCUUUCUGAGCCCACAAAGCAGAUGUAUGGAAUUCAAUUACUACGAUAUAACUCUGGACUGUGUCUAAGCUUCAUAAAACUAUUUGACACAAGGUGAGUCAUGUCUGAUGCCGUAUUUAGAA